GCAGACUACAGGGAUUGCCUCAGUAACGGCGAGUGAAGCGGCAAGAGCUCAAAUUUGGAAUCGCGCGAGCGAGUUGUAAUUUGAAGAAGGUGGCCCGGGGACAGCUUGUGCCGAAGUUCCUUGGAACAGGACGUCGCAGAGGGUGAGAAUCCCGUGCGGUGUGGGCGCGUCUCCGUGAGGGCCAUGUUCGACGAGUCGAGUUGUUUGGGAAUGCAGCUCUAAGUGGGUGGUAAAUUCCAUCUAAAGCUAAAUAUUGGCGAGAGACCGAUAGCGAACAAGUACAGUGAUGGAAAGAUGAAAAGCACUUUGAAAAGAGAGUGAAACAGUACGUGAAAUUGUUGAAAGGGAAGGGCUUGGCCUCAGACUCGGGUGCCCCUCGGGGUGCUCGGGCCAGCAUCGGUUUCUGUGGCGGGAGAAUGGCGCGGGAAUGUGGCUCCUCUGGAGUGUUACAGCCCGCGCUGAUGCCGCCUGCGGAGACCGAGGACUGCGCAUUAUGCACGAUGCUGCU
rnacentral:rRNA from 1 species